rnacentral:rRNA from 1 species
AUUGAACGCUGGCGGCAGGCCUAACACAUGCAAGUCGAGCGAGCGGCGGACGGGUGAGUAAUGUCUGGGAAACUGCCUGAUGGUGGGGGAUAACUACUGGAAACGGUAGCUAAUACCGCAUACCAUCAGAUUUGCCCAGAUGGGAUUAGCUAGUAGGUGGGGUAACGGCUCACCCAGGCGACGAGCCCUAGCUGGUCUGAGAGGAUGACCAGCCAAACAGGAACUGAGAAACGGUCCAGAAGCCUACGGAAGGCAGCAGUGGGGAAUAUUGCACAAUGGGCGCAAGCCUGAUGCAGCCAGGCCGCGUGUAUGAAGAGGGCCUUCGGGUUGUAAAGCACUUUCAGCAGGGAGGCGUUACCCGCAGAAGAAGCACGGGCUAACUCCGUGCCAGCAGCCGCGGUAAUAC